rnacentral:rRNA from 1 species
GUUUUUAUGAAAUAUUUAUAAAGUCUGGCCUGCCCACUGAAUUUUUAAAGGGCCGCGGUAUUUUGACCGUGCAAAGGUAGCAUAAUCAUUAGUCUUUUAAUUGGGGGCUUGCAUGAAUGGUCGAACAAAAGGUAUACUGUCUUAGUUAUUAAAAGUUGAAUUUAACUUUCAAGUAAAAAGACUUGAAUAAUUUAAAGGGACGAUAAGACCCUAUAAAGCUUAAUGGUUUAGCAUUAUAAAUAUGAGUUAGUUAUUUAAAGUUUUUGUGUGGAAUACAUUUUAUUGGGGCGAUAAGAAUAUAAAUUGUAACUGUUUUAUAAAUUUAAUGUUUAUAAAUAUUAAAUUAAUUGAUCCUUUAAUAAAGAUUAUAAGAUUAAGUUACUUUAGGGAUAACAGCGUAAUUUUCUUUAAGAGUUCUUAUCGAUAAGAAAGAUUGCGACCUCGAUGUUGAAUUAAAAUUUCUUUAAGGUGCAGUAGUUUUAGGAGAGGGUCUGUUCGACCCUUAAAUUUUU